GCAGGCUGUUGCUUAGAGAAUUUGGGUUAACUUGCUUCCCAAGCAAGUUGUCGGGGGUUCAAAUCCCCUCGCCCGCUCCA
rnacentral:tRNA from 1 species